UACGUAGGGGGCAAGCGUUGUCCGGAUUUAUUGGGCGUAAAGAGCGUGUAGGCGGUUUGGUAGGUCCGCUGUGAAAACUCGAGGCUCAACCUCGAGACGCCGGUGGAAACCAUCAGGCUAGAGUCCGGAAGAGGCGAGUGGAAUUCCUGGUGUAGCGGUGAAAUGCGCAGAUAUCAGGAGGAACACCAAUUGCGAAGGCAGCUCGCUGGGACGUCACUGACGCUGAGACGCGAAAGCGUGGGGAGCAAACAGG
rnacentral:rRNA from 1 species